UACGAAGGGGGCUAGCGUUGCUCGGAAUCACUGGGCGUAAAGGGUGCGUAGGUGGCGGGGUAAGUCAGGUGUGAAAUUUCGGAGCUUAACUCCGAAACUGCAUUUGAUACUGCCUUGCUUGAGGACUGGAGAGGAGACUGGAAUUCACGGUGUAGCAGUGAAAUGCGUAGAGAUCGUGAGGAAGACCAGUGGCGAAGGCGGGUCUCUGGACAGUUCCUGACACUGGAGGCACGAAGGCCAAGGGGAGCAAACGGG
rnacentral:rRNA from 1 species